rnacentral:rRNA from 2 species
UUCGCAAUGCCCGAAAGGGUGACGAAGCGACGCCGCGUGCGGGAAGAAGGCCUUCGGGUUGUAAACCGCUGUCGGGAGUUAAGAAAUGCAAGGAUGUUAAUAGCGUCUUUGCUUGACUAAGGCUCCGGAGGAAGCCACGGCUAACUCUGUGCCAGCAGCCGCGGUAAUACAGAGGCGGCAAGCGUUGUUCGGAAUUAUUGGGCGUAAAGAGCACGUAGGCGGCCGUGUAAGUCGGUUGUGAAAGCCUUCCGCUCAACGGGAGAACGGCAUCCGAUACUGCAUGGCUCGAGUGCGGGAGGGGAGAGUGGAACUUCUGGUGGAGCGGUGAAAUGCGUAGAUAUCAGAAGGAACACCGGCGGCGAAGGCGACUCUCUGGCCCGUAACUGACGCUGAGUGUGCGAAAGCUAGGGGAGCAAACGGGAUUAGAUACCCCGGUAGUCCUAGCCGUAAACGAUGGGCACUAAGUAGAGGGGUUUU